rnacentral:rRNA from 1 species
GAUGAACGCUAGCUACAGGCUUAACACAUGCAAGUCGAGCGACCGGCGCAGGUGUGAGAUAUACGUAUCCAACCUGCCCUUUACUCGGGGAUAGCCUUUCGCAAGAGCGAUUAAUACACGACGUAAAGGGUGGGGAUGCGUUCCGUUAGGGUGUUGGUUAGGUAACGGCUCACCAAGCCUUCGAUGGCUAGGGGUUCUGAGAGGAAGGUCCCCGACAUUGGAACGGAGACACGGUCCAAACUCCUACGGGAGGCAGCAGUGAGGAAUAUUGGUCAAUGGGCGCUAGCCUGAACCAGCCAAGUAUCGUGAAGGAUGAAGGCUUAUGGGUCGUAAACUUCUUUUAUAUAAGAAUAGGUAUUAUAUGAAUAAGGAUCGGCUAACUCCGUGCCAGCCGCCGCGGUAAUAC